CGACAUGUUGGGAUAUUCACUGAUCUGGUGACGAAGAUUUGUGGACGAUAUUAAAAGUUAAUUGUGGAAUAACCAAAUUAUGGGAGAACAAUUUUAUAGACGGUAUAGGCGAGCAGACGAAUGACGAAUGACGAAUUUGAUGCCAAUGCAUUACAGGAUAUGGAAGUGUGACAUUGCUGCGCUAAUCCAAAGGACACCACAGACAUCAAAUCCCUUUUGUCUAUAUUACCGGUAAUAAAUAUCUUUCAUC